AUAGCGUAUAUUAAAGUUGUUGCAGUUAAAAAGCUCGUAGUUGAACUUCGGACCUGGCUGGGCGGUCGGCUUAUCGGCUUGUACUGUCUGGCUGGGCCUUACUUCUUGGGGAGCUGGUGUGCCCUUUAUUGGGUGCGUCGGUGAACCAGGACCUUUACCUUGAGAAAAUUAGAGUGUUCAAAGCAGGCCUAUGCCCGAAUACAUUAGCAUGGAAUAAUAAAAUAGGACGUGUGGUUCUAUUUUGUUGGUUUCUAGAGUCGCCGUAAUGAUUAAUAGGGAUAGUUGGGGGCAUUGGUAUUGAGUCGCUAGAGGUGAAAUUCUUGGAUUGACUCAAGACCAACUAUUG
rnacentral:rRNA from 1 species